rnacentral:rRNA from 1 species
GGGCCCGCACAAGCGGUGGAGUAUGUGGUUUAAUUCGAUGCAACGCGAAGAACCUUACCAGGGUUUGACAUCCUGCGAAUCUCUUGGAAACGAGAGAGUGCCUUCGGGAACGCAGUGACAGGUGGUGCAUGGCUGUCGUCAGCUCGUGUCGUGAGAUGUUGGGUUAAGUCCCGCAACGAGCGCAACCCACGUCUUUAGUUGCCAGCAUUUAGUUGGGCACUCUAGAGAGACUGCCGGUGAUAAACCCGGAGGAAGGUGAGGACGACGUCAAGUCAGCAUGCCCCUUACGCCCUGGGCUACACACGUACUACAAUGGUCGAGACAAAGAGUCGCAAGUCUGCAAAGACAAGCC